rnacentral:rRNA from 1 species
AAUAGAUACCCAGGUAGUCCACGCCGUAAACGAUGAGUGCUAAGUGUUAGAGGGUUUCCGCCCUUUAGUGCUGAAGUUAACGCAUUAAGCACUCCGCCUGGGGAGUACGGCCGCAAGGCUGAAACUCAAAGGAAUUGACGGGGGCCCGGCACAAGCGGUGGAGCAUGUGGUUUAAUUCGAAGCAACGCGAAGAACCUUACCAGGUCUUGACAUCCUCUGACAACCCUAGAGAUAGGGCUUCUCCUUCGGGAGCAGAGUGACAGGUGGUGCAUGGUUGUCGUCAGCUCGUGUCGUGAGAUGUUGGGUUAAGUCCCGCAACGAGCGCAACCCUUGAUCUUAGUUGCCAUCAUUCAGUUGGGCACUCUAAGGUGACUGCCGGUGACAAACCGGAGGAAGGUGGGGAUGACGUCAAAUCAUCAUGCCCCUUAUGACCUGGGCUACACACGUGCUACAAUGGACGGUACAAAGAGCUGCAAAGCCGCGAGGUGGAGCUAAUCUCAAUAAAACCCGUUCUCAGUUCGGA